UACGUAGGGUGCGAGCGUUAAUCGGAAUUACUGGGCGUAAAGCGUGCGCAGGCGGUUUUGUAAGCCAGAUGUGAAAUCCCCGGGCUUAACCUGGGAAUGGCAUUUGGGACUGCAAGGCUUGAGUGCGGCAGAGGAGACUGGAAUUCUGGUGUAGCAGUGAAAUGCGUAGAUAUCAGGAGGAACACCGAUAGCGGAAGCAGUCGCGUGGUCUGACCAGAC
rnacentral:rRNA from 1 species